GAAUCACUAGUGAUUUUCCGGUUGAUCCUGCCGGAGGUCACUGCUAUCGGGGUUCGAUUAAGCCAUGCGAGUUGAGAGGGUUAAGACCCUCGGCGGACUGCUCAGUAACACGUGGAUAACCUGCCCUAAGGUGGAGAAUAACCCCGGGAAACUGGGGAUAAUACUCCAUAGACCAGAGUGACUGGAAUGUUUUCUGGUCGAAAGUUCCGGCGCCUUAGGAUGGAUCUGCGGCCGAUUAGGUAGUUGUUGGGGUAACGGCCCAACAAGCCAGUCAUCGGUACGGGUUGUGGGAGCAAGAGCCCGGAGAUGGAAUCUGAGACACGAUUCCAGGCCCUACGGGGCGCAGCAGGCGCGAAAACUUUACAAUGCAGGAAACUGUGAUAAGGGAACCCCGAGUGCUCGUACACGCGAGCUGUCCAGGUGUGUAAAAAGCAUCUGAAGAAAGGGCCGGGCAAGACCGGUGCCAGCCGCCGCGGUAAUACCGGCGGCUCGAGUGGUGGCCACUAUUAUUGGGCUUAAAGCGUUCGUAGCUGGACUCUUAAGUCUCCUGGGAAAUCCGCCGGCUCAACCGGCGGGCGUCCAGGAGAUACUGGGAGUCUUGGAACCGGAAGAGGUAAGAGGUACUUCGGGGGUAGG
rnacentral:rRNA from 1 species